rnacentral:tRNA from 1 species
GCGCCGGUGGUCCAAUGGCUAAGACUUCAGCCUUCCAAGCUGAUUAUCUGGGUUCGAGUCCCAGCCGGCGCA